AUGCUUUUGCUUUCUGUACGGAGUUGGGAGCGUCUUCCUGUUUGACGCCCGAAGAACGUCACGUUUAAUCCUUGGGAUGAAGAUGGCGAAUUACGGUGCCUCACUUGGGCUUACAAGUGGUAUGUGGUAUCCGAGAUGACGAAUGAUGUCAAUCUCAUGUACCAAAAGUACAUUGCCGAGUUGGACACGAUUACGCCUGAGCAGGUAAGGAGGUCAUUACUUCAGUAUUUCUCAUGCUUGCCUGAAAAAUAG
rnacentral:rRNA from 1 species